rnacentral:rRNA from 1 species
UACAGAGGUCUCAAGCGUUGUUCGGAUUCAUUGGGCGUAAAGGGUGCGUAGGCGGCGCGGUAAGUCGGGUGUGAAAUCUCGGAGCUUAAUUCCGAAACUGCAUUCGAUACUGCCGUGCUUGAGGACUGGAGAGGAGACUGGAAUUUACGGUGUAGCGGUGAAAUGCGUAGAUAUCGUAAGGAAGACCAGUGGCGAAGGCGGGUCUCUGGGCCGAUACUGACGCUGAGGAGCGAAAGCGUGGGGAGCGAACAGG